rnacentral:rRNA from 1 species
CUACGGGAGGCUCCAGUGAGGAAUAUUGCACAAUGGGGGGAACCCUGAUGCAGCAACGCCGCGUGGAGGAUGACGCAUUUCGGUGUGUAAACUCCUUUUAUAUGUCAAGAAAAUGACGGUAGCAUAUGAAUAAGCGCCGGCUAACUCCGUGCCAGCAGCCGCGGUAAUACGGAGGGGCAAGCGUUACUCGGAAUCACUGGGCGUAGAGGACGCGUAGGCGGGUUGAAAAGUCAGGUGUGAAAGCCUACAGCUUAACUGUAGAACUGCACUUGAAACUCUCAAUCUAGAGUAUGGGAGGGGCAGAUGGAAUUAGUGGUGUAGGGGUAAAAUCCGUAGAUAUCACUAGGAAUACCUAAAGCGAAGGCGAUCUGCUGGAACAUUACUGACGCUAAGGCGUGAAAGCGUGGGGAGCAAACAGGAUUAGAUACCCUGGUAGUC